AGAGUUUGAUCCUGGCUCAGGACGAACGCUGGCGGCGUGCUUAACACAUGCAAGUCGAACGGAAUCCAUGUGGUGGUAACACCGCGGAAGAUUUAGUGGCGAACGGGUGAGGAACACGUGAGGAACCUGCCCCAAACUUUGGGAUAACAGUUGGAAACGACUGCUAAUACCAGAUGCCGUUACUUUGUCGCAUGGCGAGGUAACGAAAGUUUUUCGGUUUGGGAGGGCCUCGCGGCCUAUCAGCUUGUUGGUGAGGCAAUGGCUCACCAAGGCAACGACGGGUAGCUGGUCUGAGAGGAUGAUCAGCCACACUGGGACUGAGACACGGCCCAGACUCCUACGGGAGGCAGCAGUGGGGAAUCUUGCGCAAUGGGCGAAAGCCUGACGCAGCAACGCCGCGUGCGGGAAGAAGGCCUUAGGGUUGUAAACCGCUUUCAGCAGGGAAGAAAAUGACUGUACCUGCAGAAGAAGGUGCGGCCAACUACGUGCCAGCAGCCGCGGUGACACGUAGGCACCAAGCGUUGUCCGGAUUUAUUGGGCGUAAAGAGCUCGUAGGCUGUUCAGUUAGUUGGGUGUGAAAACUCCGGGCUUAACCCGGAGCCGCCACCCAAUACUGCUGUGACUAGAGUUCGGUAGGGGAGCGGGGAAUUCCUAGUGUAGCGGUGAAAUGCGCAGAUAUUANNNNNAACACCGGUGGCGNNNNC
rnacentral:rRNA from 1 species